UACACUCCUGCGGGAGGCAGCAGUGGGGAAUAUUGCACAAUGGGCGCAAGCCUGAUGCAGCCAUGCCGCGUGUAUGAAGAAGGCCUUCGGGUUGUAAAGUACUUUCAGCGGGGAGGAAGGUGUUGAGGUUAAUAACCUCAGCAAUUGACGUUACCCGCAGAAGAAGCACCGGCUAACUCCGUGCCAGCAGCCGCGGAAAUACGGAGGGUGCAAGCGUUAAUCGGAAUUACUGGGCGUAAAGCGCACGCAGGCGGUCUGUCAAGUCGGAUGUGAAAUCCCCGGGCUCAACCUGGGAACUGCAUUCGAAACUGGCAGGCUAGAGUCUUGUAGAGGGGGGUAGAAUUCCAGGUGUAGCGGUGAAAUGCGUAGAGAUCUGGAGGAAUACCGGUGGCGAAGGCGGCCCCCUGGACAAAGACUGACGCUCAGGUGCGAAAGCGUGGGGAGCAAACAGGAUUAGAAACCCGAGUAGUCCC
rnacentral:rRNA from 1 species